UAUGGCCCUCAGUCGAAUUCUUUCUUCUGAGGAGGCAAGGACUGAAGUUGCUUCUGACCAGUACAGGUGUCAUGCCCAGAUAGCCAGCCAGCAGGAAAAAAAAGGGAAGAACGUGAGGGGCAUGCUUGCAAAGUGUGACAGACUUGUCUAGAAGUAGCACCCUUCUCAUCCAUUGGCCAGAAUGUGGUCACGUGACCACCAUCCACUCCAUGGGGUCCUGGAGAUGUGGUGCCUGCCUGGGCUGCACAUCAGCCACACUUCUCUCACUGUGGAAGCCAAGUAAUUGAUGUCUGAUCAUUGUGCCUGGUGGUUGUUGAUAGAACGGGACUGAUUUCCCCCUGGACUGGACCAAGAUCACAAGCAGCUUCUGGAUUGUGAUUCAAGGGACAAAAGAGUUAACAAGAAACUCAUUAAUCUUCAAAGGCUUCAAGAGUGGCACAGAUGAAUCCAAUAUUCCUAUAUGACCUACUUUACUGAACUGGAAAAACUGCAUGCUGACAGCACAAAUGAUCUGUAAGAAGAGAUGCAGGUUGUAUAUGUCAGCCUCGCAGAGAACUCUUUCCAAAUACCACUGGGAGAACCAGAGCAACAUGACAACUCCACAGUAUAGCCCAAAAUACUGAAAUUAGAUUGCAGGGAUGUGCAGAAACCCCUUGUGAAUGUUGUCAUUGGCACCUUUGAAUUUUAACCUUAGCUUGUUACUGAUCAGCUAAUAAUAGCCUGUAUCUUAAACUAUAACCAAAAGGUAAAUAUCCAUUUAUUCAUGGAUUCUCAAUCCUUCUGCUGCUUUAUAGUAUUGAGAGUUAAAUGCAUUUGUUACAGUAUUUGUCUAAAUACAUGGAAAUUUAGCUUAAGUCCUAACAUAGAUGAAGCUAUUUUAGUUUCUUCUGUGCCUCCUCAACUAAGGUCCCAAACCAAUGCUUUUCUUCCCCACACCCCCAGUCCGGAGGACAGUAGAAAAUACGGCAACAUGAGAAUCCAGAUUUUAUAUGAUCUUUUUUCAGAGAAGUUUUCACACUUCACUUGGAUGAAGUUACACUUGGUUCUCCACCCAGUGGCCACUUCUUUCCUUCCUCCUUACAGUCAAGAGUCCUCAUUUUGUCCAGAUGUUCACUUUUUUCUAACCUGACUCAGGAGCAAACGCAAAUUAGUCUAAUCUUAUCAUGACCACCCCGUGCCCCUUGUCAGGAAUGAGUUUGGGGUGAUCUCAUCCUGGUCACUUGGGCGUGAGUAGCCCAACUCUGGGUCUGAUCCUGCAAAUGACGUUCUGGUGUAGCCCAACUCUGGGUCUGGUUACAUCAGUGACUUCACAAUGUCAUCGGGACCCUGGGCUCCUGUCUUCCUGCCCUGUCACCUUCAAGGUACUAGCAUUGCUUCCACUGGGCCCUCCAGGGCUGCAAGGUGGCCACUAUGGUUCUAGGCACCAUAUCCUGACACAAUAACAACCAAUGGAAAAAGAGGAACAAAUGUUUGCAUUACUGCUCUUCAAAAUCAAGGUAACAUUUCCAAGAUGGUCCCCAACAGGCCACUGCUCACGCAGUGAUCUGGGCUACACCAGAACCUCCUGGCACUCCAUCCUGGGCAACAGAGUAAGAUCCUGUCUCAAAAAAUAAAAAAUAAAAAAGGACUAAAGGCUGCCAACGAAUAUCAGAAACAACCAUUUGUUAUAAACUGCCACUGACUGGAAGCCUUACUGAUAAUAUAAACAGUUGAUGAACACACACUUUGUAUGUUACUGUAUUAUAUACUAUAUUCUUACAAUAAAGUAAGCUAGA
ensembl:lncRNA PPP1R3B-DT PPP1R3B divergent transcript